rnacentral:rRNA from 1 species
GUAGGUGGCAAGCGUUGUCCGGAAUUAUUGGGCGUAAAGCGCGCGCAGGCGGUUCUUUAAGUCUGAUGUGAAAGCCCACGGCUCAACCGUGGAGGGUCAUUGGAAACUGGAGUACUUGAGUACAGAAGAGGAAAGCGGAAUUCCACGUGUAGCGGUGAAAUGCGUAGAGAUGUGGAGGAACACCAGUGGCGAAGGCGGCUUUCUGGUCUGUAACUGACGCUGAGGCGCGAAAGCGUGGGGAGCAAACAGGAUUAGAUACCCUGGUAGUCCACGCCGUAAACGAUGAGUGCUAAGUGUUAGGGGGUAUCCGCCCCUUAGUGCUGCAGCUAACGCAUUAAGCACUCCGCCUGGGAGUACGGCCGCAAGGCUG